rnacentral:lncRNA from 1 species
AUGGUUCCAUUAUAGUUAGUGCUGGAAAUGUAUUCCUAUUGGCCAAUUCAUCAUAGUUGAUCUCACUAUUUUUAAUUCUAUCAUUUGCUUCUUGGACAAUUGCAACCUGCUUUCCUCUAUUGUUCAUUUGUAGUUCCACCUCAGGUAGCUUUGUUGAUUCCUCUUGUUGUUGAUUGGCGAUAUUCCCCUCACUUAUAUCUUUUGGUUGCCACUUCAUUAUGGUUUUCUUUUUUUUUCUCUUUCUCUGCUUCUGUAGCCUUUCAUCCCGUUGCUCCUCCUUCUAACAAUUCUUAUUUUUAUGCCCAAACGAGUUACAUUCUAGAUAAAAUGUUGGUUUCCAUUCAAAUUCCACAGUCAGCAACUAGCUUCUUCCAUCUGGUAUCUCAAUAUAAAUUUCAUCAAAGCAAAGGCUGGGUUACGUCCAUUUCCACAAGAACUCUAACAUAGGAAAUUCUUUCACAUGCAGC